rnacentral:rRNA from 1 species
GUGGGGAAUAUUGGACAAUGGGUGCAAGCCUGAUCCAGCCAUGCCGCGUGAGUGAUGAAGGCCUUAGGGUUGUAAAGCUCUUUUGUCCGGGAAGAUAAUGACUGUACCGGAAGAAUAAGCCCCGGCUAACUUCGUGCCAGCAGCCGCGGUAAUACGAAGGGGGCUAGCGUUGUUCGGAAUCACUGGGCGUAAAGCGCACGUAGGCGGACCAUUAAGUCAGGGGUGAAAGCCUGGAGCUCAACUCCAGAACUGCCUUUGAUACUGAUGGUCUCGAGUAUGGAAGAGGUUGGUGGAACUGCGAGUGUAGAGGUGAAAUUCGUAGAUAUUCGCAAGAACACCGGUGGCGAAGGCGGCCAACUGGUCCAUUACUGACGCUGAGGUGCGAAAGCGUGGGGAGCAAACAGGAUUAGAUACCCCAGUAGUCC